rnacentral:tRNA from 1 species
AGAUUAAAUAAAAUUUGAGCUUCUAACUCAUAAUUAAUGGUUUCCAUUUUAAUCUU